GAUGAACGCUGGCGGCGUGCCUAAUACAUGCAAGUCGAGCGAACAGACGAGGAGCUUGCUCCUCUGACGUUAGCGGCGGACGGGUGAGUAACACGUGGAUAACCUACCUAUAAGACUGGGAUAACUUCGGGAAACCGGAGCUAAUACCGGAUAAUAUAUUGAACCGCAUGGUUCAAUAGUGAAAGACGGUUUUGCUGUCACUUAUAGAUGGAUCCGCGCCGCAUUAGCUAGUUGGUAAGGUAACGGCUUACCAAGGCAACGAUGCGUAGCCGACCUGAGAGGGGGAUGGGCCACACUGGAACUGAGACACGGUCCAGACUCCUAGGGGAGGCAGCAGUAGGGAAUGUUCCGCAAUGGGGGAAAGCCUGACGGAGCAGCGCCGCGUGAGUGAUGAAGGUCUUCGGAUCGUAAAACUCUGUUAUUAGGGAAAAACAAAUGUGUAAGUAACUAUGCACGUCUUGACGGUACCUAAUCAGAAAGCCACGGCUAACUACGUG
rnacentral:rRNA from 1 species